AGCCCAUAUCUUUAAUGCUCAUCAAACUCCCAGUUAGGACUGGGAGUGAAG
rnacentral:sRNA from 1 species